CGUGCCAAUCUAGCACAGAAAAUCAAAGUUUUGGAAUUCAGAGAAAAUUGGAAACUUCAGAAAAUACAAAAAGUGGAUUUUUGUCCAUUGAUGAUAUUUUAAAAGACGAUUCAAACGGCGCGAAAGGCGACAUCAACCAGACCACAAACGAUGAAACUGUCGUUUGUCAUGAGAAUGAAAACGAGGAACAAAUAACACCAAAGCAGAUUUGUGAUACUCAAGUAUCAUCACCAUUUGUACUCCGUCCAAUUCCAAGAUUUUGUUAUCCUGUUUCACCCUGGACCCCCGAGUCUCCUGCUUGGCUUUACCAGUCGCUUUAUCAUAGACAUCUGGUACUUGAAGCUCAGAAAAGUAGCACAGUCAGGAGACAGCGGCGUGUUAAUAUCGACAGAAAACCACGACAAGCUUAUUCUAGUAAACAAUUAGAACAUCUUGAGAUGGAGUUUAAGCAGGCUGACAGAUAUUUGAGUGUCAGUAAAAGAGUAGAGUUGUCUAAAACAUUAGAUCUAACAGAGACACAAAUCAAGACGUGGUUUCAGAACAGAAGAACAAAAUGGAAGAAGCAGAUGUCAGCAAAGUUAAAAAGAGAAGGUCUGUUUCCUGGUCCGAUCUGGGGUCCCAUGGCGUCUCCUCGUUCAUGUCACUUUAACCCUUAUCACCACCCGCUCUCUUUAGACAGGAACUACUUUUCUUCUUAUAAAUGAAAUAAAAUGAGAUCCCAUUUGAAAGGAGUUAUUACUAUAUGGUACUUGUCAAAUAAUACCCCACGAUCAUUUCCGACAAUAAGUGUUUACUUAUGUACUGUUAAAUCAAAUUCUCAUUCUUCUGUGAUUGUGUUCCAACCUUGGAUAACAUAGCUUUAUAAUUUCUAUUAUGAUAUUGUCAACAUUAUACCAUCGUUAAUAGUAUUGUUUCCAGGGUGUUUUGUUUUGUUAUUUAUGGAUGUACGUUGUUUGGGAAAAGUAUAUAAAUUA